rnacentral:rRNA from 1 species
GGUAAUAAAUAUAAGGGCGUAUGGUGGAUGCCUAGGGAUAUCGAGGCGAUGAAGGACGUUGCGUGCCUGCGAUAAGCUACGGGGAGGUGGCAAGCAACCUUUGAUCCGUAGAUUUCCGAAUGGGGAAACCCCGCCGUGCAAAACACGGUGACCGAGCACUCAUUUUUGGACUAUAAAAAACCAGCAUAUAUUAGCUGGUUUACUUUCGAACCGAAUUUCUAUUGUUAUGCAAUUUGUAUAAUUUUGCACAAAUUAAGAGUAUAACAAUGUAUAGUAUAGGAAUUGGGUAUAGUAUUAGAUUAACUAUGGUAUAAAUUUUUCUGCCAAAUGGUACAUGAAAAAAAUCACAGAUUGAUGAUUCUGUAGAAAUUCCUACCAAAAUACAAAGUAACAAACCUAGUAUAUAUAACACAAACAAAGUGAUUAGCAUGAAAGUCUCCUGUUUUUUGUGCAAAGUUCUUAUUAGAGAGUAGCAAAUAUAUCAAUAAAUGUCAAGAGUCCAAAAAUGAGUGCUCGGAGCGUACCCGCUGAAGUGAAACAUCUCAGUAAGCGGAGGAAAAUAAAAAAAUGCUUCGCAUUUUUUUCGCAGAAUAAGCAGACAGUACGCUGAAUUACGCAGAAUUUUUCUGCGUAUUUCUGCGUUUCUUCUGCGAAUUUCUGCGAAGGGAAUGCGCAGCGCAUUCCCUUAGUAGCGGCGAGCGAAAAGGGAUCAGCCUAGAUUGAGCAUUUUUCAGAUUAUAUCAAAAAAUUUGCUUGAAGUUAUAAGACAUGAUUAUGGUUUAAUCCGAGAGGGAAGCGUUAUAUUAGAAGAACGGUCCUGGAAAGGCCGGCCAAAGCGGGUAAUAGCCCCGUAUUCGAAAAUUUAAACGCACUCUUUAUCAUGUUCUUGAGUACUGCCCCGUAUGAAGUCUGGGCAGGAAGUAGGCGGAACUAGACCGCCAAGGCUAAAUACUCGAUGUCACCGAUAGUGAACCAGUACCGUGAGGGAAAGGUGAAAAGUAGCCCGUUUAGGGCAGUGAAAUAGUACCUGAAACCAUACGUUUACAAGGAGACAACGCCCGAAACCCGCAAGGGUUUUUAGGGCUAUGUCGUGCCUAUUGAAGAAUGAGCCAACGAGUUCUUGGAUUCUACUCGUUUAAGUGCCCAACGGCACAAAAGCAUAGCGAAAGCGAGUGUUAAUAGCGCGUUUUAGUUCUUAGUUUUUAGGUGUCAGAUUUUAGAUUAUUAAAAAAACCAGAAAGUGUCUGGCUUAGUUAGGCAUAUCGCCUUUGAUUAUGAUCACAUACAAGGCGUUACCGAAAGUUAAGAUUGUUGCAGAUAGGAAAAGAACAAAAAAUCCGUUGAUGAGAUAUUCGAUCGGGAUGCAGAUCAUUCGUGGAUUCUCCAAUGAAAACGAACUAUGCUGAUAUAUUAACAAAUAUAAUUUAAAAGUCAAGUAGUCUAGAAUCUGGCACCUAUCAACUAUGAACUAUAGGUAGAAUUCAAAAGACCCGAAACCUCGUGAGCUUACCAUGAGCAGGUUGAACCCCUGAGAAAUCAGGGGGGAGGACCGAACCGGUUGGUCGUGCAACGCCUUCGGAUGACUUGUGGUAAGGAGUGAAAAGCUAAUCGAACGAGGAAAUAGCUGGUUCUCUCCGAAAUAGUUUUUGGACUAGCCUCGGAUCACGCUCCGCGGUACAUGAGGGGAAGAGCCCAGACCAUAAACUAAGGUCCCCAAAUCUAUGUUAAGUGGCAAAGGUGGUGGAAAUUCUCAAACAGCAAGGAGGUUGGCUUAGAAGCAGCCAUCCUUUAAAGAGUGCGUAACAGCUCACUUGUCAAGAGUUUCUGCGCCUAAAAUUUAACGGGGCUAAACAUAGUACCGAAGUUAUGGGUGUCGUGCCUCACUCGUGUGAGGCACGCGCGGACGGUCGCGGACUGGACGCGGAAGGUCGCAGAAUUUUUCUGCGUAAUUCCGCGUUAGUUCUGCGCGUUCAGCGCGUGACUCGCAGUAGCGAGGCACGACGCGGUAGGAGAGCAUUUCAAACGCAGUGAAGGUUGACCCGCGAGGGCAACUGGAGUGUUUGGAAGAGAGAAUGUUGGCACAAGUAACCACAAGACAGGUGAAAACCCUGUCCGCCGAAAACCCAAGGUUUCCUUGGCAAUGCCAAUCAUCCAAGGUUUAGUCGGCCCUAAGGCCAUGGCGAAAGCCGUAACCGAUGGACAGCUGGUUAAUAUUCCAGCACUGUUUUACGCAUCGAUGGCGUGACGGAGCAAAGUAUAUUAAGCAUAUUAUUGGAUUUAUGUUCGUGUCUUAAGGAUUGAGCGUAGGCAAAUCCGCGCUCGGGGGUUAUGCCCGAAUCCAAAUGAAGCGAAAAUCAUGCGGGGCAACCCAAUUGAAAUUUAAUAAAGCUUGCUUCCCAGAAAAACGUCUAAGAUUAUGCGUAAAGCAACCGUACCGGAAACCGACACAGGUGGGUUGGUCGAGUAGACUAAGGCGAACGAGUGAGUCUUCGUUAAGGAACUAGGCAAAAAAGCAGCCGUAAGUUCGCAAUAUGGCUUGCCCGGCACCUUUUGGAUUAUGACAAAUAAAAAAUGCUCCCCAAGAAGGGAGCGAAUGCGAGAGGACUAACCCAAUUUACCGGGGACUCUCGUAAUAUGAGGAAUUUCAGCGAUUACUUUGAGGAGUUUUUUUCCAGAACCCCUUUUUGUGAGAAGUUCGCGGGCGAUUUUAUUGUUGUCUGCGUCAUCUGCGUGGAAAAGAUCUUCUAAUUGUCCAUUUCUAUUUUCAAUUAUGUAUUGACAAUUCAUUAGAUUUCUCCGCGGUAAUGUGGAUUGGAACUAACUCCAGCAUAAGUUAAAAUUAUUAUUUGUCAAGUCGUAAUUCAAAAGGUGCUGGGCUGCAACAAAAGUACCUCUAGCGACUGUUUACCAAAAACACAGGUCCCUGCUAACUCGUAAGAGGAUGUAUAGGGGCUGACGCCUGACCGAUGCGGGAAGGUUAAGCAUUGUUGUUAUGGGAUUGAGAUUAUAUCAAUGUUUUAUAGCGCAUGAUGCCAAGCCCCCGUCAAUGUCAGCAAUAACUAUAAUUGUUCUAAGGUGAAUUAUGUUGCCUUAGUAAAAUCUGGCUAUAUCGGUGAACACCUCAUUAUGCGAGACACAUAGUGAGACAAUACCGAGGGAAGUCGCCUGCUCAAAUUUUUAAACUUUUAUUUAAAUUAUUAAAAGAAAAACCCACACGGAUUAAAUCAUGUGUGGGUGCAAUCUAUGAGGUUUGGGCUUAAACGAGCUUAAACUUUGUGCCUAAGUACCAGAAUAGCCUUAUCUCCUUUUUUUGACCUUGGAAGACCGUGAAGUCCAAAUGGAGCCGUAUCAAACUGGUCAACAUAAAGCGGACUAUCAUAAGAGCUUGGAAUAAGGUCGCUCAUUAACCGCAAUGCUGUUACUUCCCUAUCUGUGCGAGCAAACAUUACGAUUUUCAAAGAUGGUUUGUUGACUCGAAUUCGAUAUGACAGCCUCAUGCCAAUCCUCCUUUUAGGAUAGUUGUGUUAUGCUAACAAUAGCAUAUUGAAAAAGAAUUGUCAAGAGUUUAAAAAUUUGAGCGGGUUGACCCCGUAGAGACUACACGCUGGAUCGAGCACCUUUCAUGUUCGGAAUUUGUAUGCGGUUUGCAAACAUUACAGAUGUUAAGUAACUGCAUCAAAAAAUUUCAAUGUGAGAAAGGUGCUCGAAAGAUAUAGUCCGAACUCCAUGGCGACAUGGAGAGCUAAGCAGAAAUGACUUAGCCAGUAACAUUCCGCGACUGUCCGCGUUAAGUCCGCGUAUGUCUGCGGUUGUUAUAGUAACAACAUGAGCGCAAUUCCUUUUCGGGUAAGUUCCGAAGCGCACGAAAGGCGUAACGACUGGAGGACUGUCUCAACGAAGAGCUCGGUGAAAAUACAAUGCCGGUGAAGAUGCCGGCUACCUGCAGUUAGACGAAAAGACCCCGGGAGCUUUACUGUAGCUUGAUAUUGGGUCUAGGAACACCGCUUUUUCUACAAAAUUAAAAUGCCGCAUAAAGCGGCAAUGGAUUAAACAAAAAAUGGCCAAAUGACGAGAGGAAUAAGAAAAAUUACCACUGCAAAAAUUGUCAUAGCAUCUAGGACGAUCAUUUUCUAUCCCCUCGCGAUUCUUAUAAAAGGCCUAAGAAAAGUUUAAUCCAAAAGACAUUUAUUGUCAAUGUUUGCAGAAAAAGCGGUGAAACCUGAUUGAGACAGUGUCUGGUGGGCAGUUUGUUUGGGGCGAAAUUCUCCUAAAAAGUAACGGAGAAGUCCAAAGGUCAGCUUAAGACGGAUGGAAACCGUCUGUGACGUGUAAAGGCAAAAGCUGGCUUAACUCCGAGGCGGACAUGCCGAGGAGAUACGAAAGUAUGGCUUAGUGAACCGAUGGCCAUGUCUUGUUUUCGACAAGACCGCAGAAUAACGCAGACAGCACGCGGAAGGUCGCAGAAUUUUUUCUGCGUAAUUCUGCGUCAGUUCUGCGAGUGUCUGCGAUCUUGCGGAAGCAAGAUACUUACUAGAACAAGGCCAAAGAUUAACGGAUAAAAGCUACCCCGGGGAUAACAGGCUAGUCGCUUCCAAGAGUCCAUAUCGACGAAGCGGAUCGGCACCUUGAACAUAUCGGGGUGCUAUGCCAGUAAUGGCAUACCUGGGAAUAUUUGGAGAAUAUUCCAAAAUAAAAAUCUCGCUAAUAUCGGUGAAGUUCUAUUGAAUUUUGAACCAAUUUUGAUAGGAUAAUACCGAGGGAAGUUAUUUUUUCUCUUAUAGGUCGAAUAGUUAUUAUUUA